ACUCAAAUGAAUUGACGGGGGCCCGCACAAGCGGUGGAGCAUGUGGUUUAAUUCGACGCAACGCGAAGAACCUUACCUGGGCUCGAACGGCUUCGGACGGCUGGUGGAAACACCGGCGUUCCCGCAAGGGACCGGAGUCGAGGUGCUGCAUGGCUGUCGUCAGCUCGUGUCGUGAGAUGUUGGGUUAAGUCCCGCAACGAGCGCAACCCUUGUCCUGUGUUGCCACUCCUUAACUGGAAGCACUCGCAGGAGACCGCCAGCGAUAAGUUGGAGGAAGGUGGGGAUGACGUCAAGUCAUCAUGGCCUUUAUGUCCAGGGCUACACACGUGCUACAAUGGGCGGUACAAAGCGCCGCGAACCCGCGAGGGGGAGCCAAUCGCCAAAAACCGCUCUCAGUUCGGAUUGCAGGCUGCAACUCGCCUGCAUGAAGCUGGAAUCGCUAGUAAUGGCAUAUCAGAACGAUGCCGUGAAUACGUUCCCGGGCCUUGUACACACCGCCCGU
rnacentral:rRNA from 1 species